rnacentral:rRNA from 1 species
UACGUAGGGGCAAGCGUUAUCCGGAAUUAUUGGGCGUAAAGAGCGCGUAGGCGGUCCGAUAAGUUGACUGUGAAAGUCCAGGGCUCAACCCUGGAAAGCCGGUCGAUACUGUCGGACUAGAGUCCGGAAGAGGCAAGUGGAAUUCCCGGUGUAGCGGUGAAAUGCGCAGAUAUCAGGAAGAACACCCGUGGCGAAAGCGGCUCUCUGGAACGGUACUGACGCUGAGACGCGAAAGCGUGGGGAGCAAACAGG